rnacentral:rRNA from 1 species
GUCCACGCCGUAAACGAUGAGUGCUAGAUGCUGUGGGUAUUGACCCCCGCGGUGUCGCAGCCAACGCGUUAAGCACUCCGCCUGGGGAGUACGGCCGCAAGGCUAAAACUCAAGGAAUUGACGGGGGCCCCGGCACAAGCGGUGGAGCAUGUGGUUCAAUUCGACGCAACGCGCAGAACCUUACCUGGGUUAAAUCCACUAGAAGGCUACAGAGAUGUGGCUUUGCCCUUCGGGGAGCUAGUGAGAAGGUGCUGCAUGGCUGUCGU